UACAGAGGUCUCAAGCGUUGUUCGGAUUCAUUGGGCGUAAAGGGUGCGCAGGCGGCGAGGCAAGUCGGACGUGAAAUCCCGGGGCUAACCCCGGAACUGCGUUCGAUACUGCCUUGCUUGAGGACUGGAGAGGAGACUGGAAUUCCUGGUGUAGCAGUGAAAUGCGUAGAUAUCAGGAGGAACGCCAAUGGCGAAGGCAAGUCUCUGGACAGUUCCUGACGCUCAUGCACGAAGGCCAGGGGAGCAAACGGG
rnacentral:rRNA from 1 species